UUGUCUGUCUUUCAUGUCAACACUGGCCAUUCACACCCUUGGUCAUUGGCUGACCGGCCCACAGAGAGGAGAGAGAUCACAUGAUUGGGCCACUGGUUUGUCUCUCAUCUGAACACUGGCCAAUCAUAGCCUACUAUUGCCCAC